CGCAGAUGACGGUGCCACCACGGCACCGUAAUGCGAUAACCAGGUUCCAAGCCCUG
rnacentral:ribozyme from 1 species